AAUCUACCCGCCAGUCUCCAUAACGUAGGCCAGAGCAGCUGGGCUAAAUAAAACAGAGCCGGGGCUCUCCCUUCCCGAAGGCCUACAUCGCCCACUGGUCCGGGCUCGGAGCUCAGCAGAACCAGAGUAGGAGCGGUUGUUGCCGGCACGGAGGAGCGAGCGCGUGCGCACUGCCUUCCGGAGGCCGGGAGGCGGAAGUCCAAGCAGGUUGUCCCAAUUUUGGCCUGCAAAGACUUCCUUCUCUCGCCUCUACUAUCCAACUCCUGUGAGGGACUCAGGCAUAGUUCGGGCGGAGGCAGAAAGAGCGAGCGCGCGAAGAACUUCGGUAUUGAGGUUGCUAAGGCUUCUCCUCAUGUGCUUCAAGAGAACCCCGGCGGGCGGAGUAACGGUUUGGAAUCCCCCGGGGUCAGCGAGCGCUUGUUUCCUCCGCCUGGUGUAGCAAAAGUGUAAACACGCGCGCUCCGGAAGGCGCCCUCCAGUGGGAGGUUGCUCAGGGGAUGGCGGAGCUGUGAAACUCGGAGCUAGAAGGAAAGUCUCAACGCUUGUCUAAAUUUUGCUUUGUCGUGACGAGCUACCUAGACCCACGCAGAGCUAACUUGGGAGAGCGCUUGUGACGCUACGAACCUCUCGAACACCUGACGACUGGGCGCCAGGGCCGGAUGGAGGGUGGAGAGCCAGUGCGGCGCAGCUGCCUCCUCUUAACGGGGACACCUUGCAGGAAUGUGCGGAGUGGAGCUAACGGGAGCGGAUAGAAACCGAGGGAGGGGAAGAGAGCGCGAAGGCUUGGCCGGAAGGAGAGGUUAAAAAGGAAAGGCCUAAAAUGAGGAAGAGAGUUACCACAACAAGCAGUACCUAGUUCCAGUUCUUGGUCCCAGGAGUUUGUGGUUGUUGCUGCUUUCAUCUUCCUCAGCCAACACAAAAGGAAAGUGCCAAGGGGCGAUUCCUAGGACCUUCAGUGCAGUCUCCACCUUGCGGACUUGGCUCAUUUGUGUCCACUCCUUUCUCCAGCCUUUUACACUUGAUGCUCUUGGAUGAAUAGAAAGGAGCACAAUUAAUGGAAAACACAAGCUUGGGAGUCAAGGGAUUUGGGUUCUAUUCUUGUCCUCCCUUGGUGACGACAUCAUUACCUUGGGUUAUUCAAGCUUUCAGUGCCAGAGUUCCUAUAUCAAUAAAAGAUUAUUACAUUGACCUCUUAGAGAAAUGUUUUCAUGGUACUGAAUUGCAAAUAAAGUAUGUGUAGCGAUGUGUUAUAUCUUUGUAGUUGUACGGUAUUAUUUGUGAAUCAUGCUGUGAUGAU
rnacentral:lncRNA from 10 species